AGUCCCUAGAGUCCAGGCCAUAGACCUUCUGCUACUGGUCAGCCCAAGGCCAUGGGACAAGCCAUUAUUACAAUGGUCUGAGUCAUUCCCUAGUCUGGCCACAGGAUGGUGCAGGGCCCAAGCACUUGGGCCAUCCUCCACUGCACUCCCGGGCCACAGCAGAGAGCUGGCCUGGAAGAGGAGCAACCGGGACUAGAACCCAGCGCUCAUAUGGGAUGCCAGCGCUGCAGGCGGAAGAUUAACCAAGUGAGCCACGGUGCCGGCCCUGGGCCAUCUUCCACUGCUUUCCAGGCCAUGACAGAGAGCUGGAUCAGAAGAGGAGAAGCCAGGACUCAAACUGGCGCCUAUAUGGGAUACAGGUGGCGGGGACCCAACUACUUGAUCCAUCAACUGCUGCCUCCCAGAUCAUUGGCGGGAAGCUGGAUCAGAAGCGGAGCAGCCAGGACUCGCACCAGGCACUCAGAUAACAAGAGGUGGGCAUCCCGGAGCUGUGUCUCAACCAUUGCCACAAACAGCAUCCCUUUAAGAUUUCUGCUCUGGCACAUCGCAACUGUUGACAGAAGAUAGCGUUCUCCAGGUUCAAGAACACCAGUCUAGGGAGCAAGAUUUUUCAAUGAAUAAAAAUAGAGAAAAAGCUGCUUCCUCAAAGUUCAGAAACUUCACCUGGAAAUGCUCGCUGCAGGUGGAGGCUGAGGAGCCGCCGCGGCUCCCUGACAGCAGCGCCAGCACAGCUUCCUCCCAAGACCCUGAGCUCCACCUGGUUCCAUCAUCGCCCCAAACCGCAGCCCUGGAAGUCAGGCAGGGACACGAUUGCUGAUUAAAUGCUUUUCCACAGUUAAUGAAUAUUUACUGAGUGCAUACUUUGGACAGAUCCUUCUAAGGGUCUCCGUGACAAGUAGGUUAGUGACA